UCACUUCGCACUACUCAUUUCUGACUGCUCACUUUCCAUUUUCCAUUCGACCUGAUGACCCAGCAUCAAUUUUCAAUUUUUUUACGCGGUUUUAAUUUACAAAGUUUCAAAUUUCAUAGUCGGUUUGGCAAAGUUGAUAAAAAUCAAAACAAAUUAACUACAAGCGCUGUGAAAAACUCGAAUUCAUUUAUCUCUCUUCUCAUCGGUACAUAUGAUAAUAAACAUGUUGUUGUAGAUAAUUGACCUUGCCAGUUGCAACAAAUAUAAUUCUAGCUAUAAAAAUCAUUCACGUAGGUAUCUACAUUCAAUUAUGCUCACCUCAAGCUAGGUUCUCACACCUUCAUUCAAUGCAUAAGCAUAUGGCUCCAGUUAUUGUUUAUUACACAGUAUGUAUCCCACACGCAACGUCAUCCAUCGAACCGGUACUCGGAAGGCAUUUCCCAGCCACCCCACAUGUUUAAUCAUCUAAGGCAGAAACUUUCCGUUGAUAAUCAAAAUUUAGUAGUUAGCUUACCUUCUUUGGUGCAACACCUGCGGUUAAAAUCCGAGCAAUGAAUAUCACCCGAUUGUUGCUGUUUGCAGUGUUUUUACUGUUGGUGGCAUCUGUACCAGUUGAAGCAUUCCCCAGAAGAUUCCGAAUUACGAGACAAACUGUGAGAUUCGGGCGGAUGUUUGGCAGGACUUUCAAUCGAGCGUUGAAGACGCUAUUCGGACGGUGAUCACUACUCGAACGCAUCAUACUUUAUCAUCUGCUCAUCAUUUCAAUUAAGUGUUUUGAUUAAAACGAAUUUAUUUGAUAAAUGUGAUAUCUCAAUAAUAAAAAACCUAAUAUUAAAAUUAAAACUUCAUCUUACUCCACAGACCAUUGUAAGUUUUGAGGAAUAGAAAAAUGCGUUUUUCUGCUACAUUUUCAUGUAGAUAAGUUCUUAGACUUAUUUGAACAAAAACUCGAUCACGUUGGAUUAUUACGGUGGAUUCCAAAAAUUAUUCUUCUCUUUAGCUUCCAUUGUUAUUACUUUAAAACCUUAACGGUUCGUAACAAAAUAUUCACCGAGCAACGAGCUCUAUGUUUUUUUUUUUCAAGUCCUUUUAUGCUAUUUCCCCGGAAAACAAUAAUGGAUUUUUUUUUGUUUUUCCCAGACAGCAUCAACUUCGAUAAAACAUAAGACGAAGCAUCGUAGUUUGUAGAAAACACAAGCAUUUUUUUCAAUCUAAAAAAGUAUAAACUAGAAAAAGGUUUCCACUUUGCCAGACCUCGCGAAAAAGAAUUGAAGGGAAAUCGUUUCUGAAUUAGUAAUGACCGCUUUUUGGAAAAAUGGACAUCAGUACACUUUUCACAACAUUCUUUGUAUGUAGUUAGUAAAAAUAUUGUGAGUGUAAAAGUAAUGUGUGUAAAGUGUGAUAAUUACCAGUCCGAUCAAGGAAAUCAUUACAUCCUAUCUACAUGAGGAGAUCAUAAGAGAUUAUACCGAAUCGAGAGUUGGAAGCGUUUAUCAAUUGUCUUCUAAUUGUUAAUCCAGAUGCCUAACCCAAAAAUCUAUUUAAUACACACAUGGGUUCGUAAAGACUCUUCUAAGCAUAAAAAAAAUAUAAUUUUUGUUUUAAGUUUUAUAACCAGUUUUGCUAUAUUGAUAUGUAUCAGAACAAACUAACUACAAGCGCUGAGAAAAACUCGAAUUCACUUAUCUCUCUUGUCAUCGGUACAUGUACCAAACAUGUUUGGAUCAAUGUGGGUAAUUGACCUUGUCAGUUGAAACAAACAUAAUUCAAGCUAUGAAAAUCAUUCACGUAACUGCUCUCAAUUAUGUUAACCUCCCUCAAGCUAAAUUCGUACAAGGCAUAAGCAAUGAACAUACAUGGCUCUAGUUAUUGUUUAUUCCACAUGCCAUCGAACAAGUGCUUGGAACACACAUGAUUAGUCUUGUAGGCAGAAUCUUUCCAUUUACAAAUCAAUAUUUAGUAGUUAGCUUACCUUCUUCGGUGUAACAUCUGCGGUCAAAAUUCGAGCAAUGAAUAUCACCCGGUUGUUGCUUCUUGCAGUAUUUUUACUGUUGGUGGCAUUUGUAUCAGUUGAAGCAUUUCCCAGAAGAAUCAGAAUUACCCCUCGGCAAACUUUGAGAUUCGGGCGGAUUUUAGGCAGGACAUUUAUUACGGCGUUGAAGACGAUAUACGGACGGUGAUAUCCACUCAGACGAUCAUAUUUUGGCAUCUGCUCGUUAUUUUAAUUAAGUGUUUUGAUUAAAACGAAUUUAUUUGAUAAAUGUGAUAUUUCAAUAAUAAAAACCUAAUAUUAAAAUUUAAACAUAAA